rnacentral:rRNA from 1 species
UGGGGAAUCUUGGACAAUGGGCGCAAGCCUGAUCCAGCCAUGCCGCGUGAGCGAUGAAGGCCUUAGGGUUGUAAAGCUCUUUCACCGGUGAAGAUAAUGACGGUACCUAGUAAAGAAGUCCCGGCUAACUCCGUGCCAGCAGCCGCGGUAAUACGGAGGGGACUAGCGUUGUUCGGAAUUACUGGGCGUAAAGCGCACGUAGGCGGACCAGAAAGUUGGGGGUGAAAUCCCGGGGGCUCAACCCCGGAACUGCCUCCAAAACUAUUGGUCUAGAGUUCGAGAGAGGUGAGUGGAAUUCCAAGUGUAGAGGUGAAAUUCGUAGAUAUUUGGAGGAACACCAGUGGCGAAGGCGGCUCACUGGCUCGAUACUGACGCUGAGGUGCGAAAGUGUGGGGAGCAAACAGGAUUAGAUACCCUGGUAGUCCACGCCGUAAACGAUGUCAACUAGCCGUUGGGGAACUUGAUUCUUUAGUGGCGCAGCUAACGCGAUAAGUUG